rnacentral:piRNA from 5 species
AUAUACUAAAAUUGGAACGAUACAGAGAAG